rnacentral:rRNA from 1 species
GACGAACGCUGGCGGCGUGCUUAACACAUGCAAGUCGAACGGAAAGGCCCUGCUUUUGUGGGGUGCUCGAGUGGCGAACGGGUGAGUAACACGUGAGUAACCUGCCCUUGUCUUUGGGAUAACUCCAGGAAACAGGGGCUAAUACCGGAUAGGAGCUCCUGCUGCAUGGUGGGGGUUGGAAAGUUUCGGCGGUUGGGGAUGGACUCGCGGCUUAUCAGCUUGUUGGUGAGGUAGUGGCUUACCAAGGCCUUGACGGGUAGCCGGCCUGAGAGGGUGACCGGGCACAUUGGGACUGCGGUACGGCCCAGACUCCUACGGGAGGCAGCAGGGGGAAAUAUUGCACAAUAGGCGGAAGCCUGUUGCAGCAACCCCGCGUGCGGGAUGACGGCCUUCGGGUUGUAAACCGCUUUCGCCUGUGACGAAGCGUGAGUGACGGUAAUGGGUAAAGAAGCACCGGCUAACUACGUG